rnacentral:misc_RNA from 1 species
AACGCACCUUGCACUCCUUGGUAUUCCGAGGAGUAUGCCUGUUUGAGUGUCAUGAAAUUCUCAACCUCAUGGUUUUAUUACUGUGAGGCUUGGAUUUGGAAGCCUGCUGGCGUAAGUCGGCUCUUCUUAAAUGUAUUAGCUGCUUGUCCGUGAGUUGGCUCAGAGUGUGAUAAGUAUCAACACUUGGUGGCUGCUUGCUUGGAUGUGGCUUCUAAUCGUCUUCGGACAACUUUCUUAAGAUCUGACCUCAAAUCAGGUAGGACUACCCGCUGAACUUAA